AAAUGUGUGGAGCAGGGUGAAAGAUGUAUGGGAGAGGCUGGUGUGUCUCUGUGUGCUGGUUGAGAGUUCAGAACCAUUUUAAGAUUGCCCAGGGCCCUAAGUAGAUUGCCAGUUUGGGUCGUGUGUGUGUGUGUGUUUGAGUCUGAAAGCUGUAUAUGGAAGGCUGAAUGUAAUUGUGUGUGCUGGUUGAGUGUAGUGAUUCAAUGUGUUGUGAUAAAGUGAAGGCAGAG